GUCCAAACAAUGGGUAGCGGCUGCAGGUAAUUAGAUGGAACCAAACCUCGUCGUCCGUGCAGAUCCCCCUAAAAUAGAGGGAGGAAUCCCUGCUGCAUGAGGCGUUGCUUCAGGUACUCAUCCUCCACUGGGACUUCAGCCACCAUGUUACUUGGCACAUAACCAGAGAGACCACCGGACUCACCAUAAUAGAAGCCAUCAUAGUCUUUGUCUCCAAACACCUAAUAAAUGCAGAGGUUUAUCUCUUUAUUAUGGGAGGUUUAGAAUAAAUAAAUGUAUAUUUGCAUGGUGCAGCAGUGAAUUCAGUAAAAUUGACAUCAAUCGGUUGGAAACGGUGACAGGAAAUAAAGAAAAAAGCUGAUAUCUUUGUACACAAUCAGCUGGCUUGAAUGUAGCACAAACAGGAAACACCAUCAUGUUUCAACCAUCAUUUCAAAGAAGCUUUUCAACUGAUGAAGUGAGGAAAUACAACUCUAAUAUAUGAGAUACACAUGCCAGCACACUUAAAGAGCACCAUGAAAGAAGUAUAGACCAUUUUACCUGCUUUACUUUGUAUAUUAAAGUGACUAUAUGUAACGUU